GACGAACGCUGGCGGCGUGCCUAAUACAUGCAAGUCGAACGAGAGCGCCCGGUGCUUGCACUGGUCAAUCUAGUGGCGAACGGGUGAGUAACACGUGGGUAACCUGCCCAUCAGAGGGGGAUAACAUCCGGAAACGGAUGCUAAAACCGCAUAGGUCUUCGAGCCGCAUGGCUUGAAGAGGAAAAGAGGCGCAAGCUUCUGCUGAUGGAUGGACCCGCGGUGCAUUAGCUAGUUGGUGAGGUAACGGCUCACCAAGGCCGUGAUGCAUAGCCGACCUGAGAGGGUGAUCGGCCACAUUGGGACUGAGACACGGCCCAAACUCCCACGGGAGGCAGCAGUAGGGAAUCUUCCGCAAUGGACGCAAGUCUGACGGAGCAACGCCGCGUGAGUGAAGAAGGUUUUCGGAUCGUAAAACUCUGUUGUUAGAGAAGAACAAGUGCUAGAGUAACUGUUAGCGCCUUGACGGUAUCUAACCAGAAAGCCACGGCUAACUACGUG
rnacentral:rRNA from 1 species